rnacentral:rRNA from 1 species
UGAACGCUGGCGGUAGGCCUACCACAUGCAAGUCGAACGGCAGCAUAGUAAGAGCUUGCUCUUACGGGUGGCGAGUGGCGGACGGGUGAGGAAUACAUCGGAAUCUACUUUUUCGUGGGGGAUAACGUAGGGAAACUUACGCUAAUACCGCAUACGACCUACGGGUGAAAGCAGGGGAUCUUCGGACCUUGCGCGAUUGAAUGAGCCGAUGUCGGAUUAGCUAGUUGGCGGGGUAAAGGCCCACCAAGGCGACGAUCCGUAGCUGGUCUGAGAGGAUGAUCAGCCACACUGGAACUGAGACACGGUCCAGACUCCUACGGGAGGCAGCAGUGGGGAAUAUUGGACAAUGGGCGCAAGCCUGAUCCAGCCAUACCGCGUGGGUGAAGAAGGCCUUCGGGUUGUAAAGCCCUUUUGUUGGGAAAGAAAAGCAGCAGGUUAAUACCCCGCUGUUCUGACGGUACCCAAAGAAUAAGCACCGGCUAACUUCGUG